rnacentral:rRNA from 1 species
UACGUAGGUGGCAAGCGUUGUCCGGAAUUAUUGGGCGUAAAGCGCGCGCAGGCGGUCCUUUAAGUCUGAUGUGGAAAGCCCACGGCUCAACCGUGGAGGGUCAUUGGAAACUGGAGGACUUGAGUACAGGAAGAGGAAAGCGGAAUUCCACGUGUAGCGGUGAAAUGCGAGAGAUGUGGAGGAACACCAGUGGCGAAGGCGGCUUUCUGGUCUGUAACUGACGCCUGAGGCGCGAA